AUUUGAUAUGUUUAUUGAUUAAUUUCUUUUUGUGAUGUGGUUUGACAGAACCCGAGAGGGAAUGUGAAAACCUUUCACCCAAGUUCUAGAAAGUCUGAUAUUGUCUUACAACUUCACAUUCCUUUGUGAUUCCAAUGGACUGAUUGAGCCCCAGGUUUGAAUUUUUUCUAGUUUUCACACACACACACACACACACACACACACACAGUCAUAAUACCUGUAAGAAGGAAAGCAGUCCUGUAGAACUAAAGUGUUUGAAAAAAAUCUAUGAGCUUAAUGUUUUGGAGGAAAUCCCUUCUAUAGCAGUGGAAAGAAGGCAGCUCAUUUUUGACUUUGAAUGGUAGGACUGUAUCUGCUCUUCAGUUUUUGAAAUACAGCUGUGCCACGUGCACUGAACCUUCACACUGGGAUUCAGCUGCCAUGCUUCACCUUGGGUAUGAUCAUGAUAGAGGCUGAGAAAGGUGACUCCCUCCGUUGAUGUAUUUCCCCAUGAUUGUCUUCCACCAAACGAUACUAAUACUCCCGAAAAUACUUAACAUUUACAAAAUGUUUAUUUUCUGAUUCAUGCCAAAGUACUUGUAAGCCUCCUUUUUUCUCAUAUGCAAAAUGAUACCAAUCAUAUCUAGUUCACAGAUUUAUUGUGAGGAAUAAAUAAGGGACUACAUCUACAGGAUUAGCACAGUGCCUGGAUAUAGUAAUUGCAACAAAUAGUAGCUAUUGAUAUCAUGGUAUUUGUUAUUACUAUU